AUGUCAGUGAUGACAUACGUGGCAGAACUGCAGGCUCUGUGGGCUGACCAGGAUAACUGUGAUCCCCUGGAACUCUAUGACGCGGCUUCAAUCGAGUCAGGGCAUAAGUGGAUGGCACGCAGGCGUGUGCUGAAAUUUUUGGCUGGCCUCAAAGGUUGCUUUGAUGGCAGGAAGGCUUCCCUGUUGCACCAACCUAGUCCGCCUACCAUUCCCGAGGCUAUUGCAGCGAUGACUCAAGAGGAGGCGCGCCUAUCCCUUGAGCAUGCAGACGUGAAAGGUUGUGCCAGCUUUGACAUUUGCAGUCACUGA
rnacentral:rRNA from 1 species